rnacentral:rRNA from 1 species
GGGAGGAAAAGAAACUAACAAGGAUUUUCUUAGUAGCGGCGAGCGAAAAGAAAUCAGUUCAGCACUAAGUCACUUUGUCUUAAUGGCAAAUGUGAGAUGCAGUGUAUGGAAUGUCAAAUUUCUUGUAUGAGAAAUUAACGAUUUAAGUCCUUCUUAAAUGAGGCCAUUUACCCAAAGAGGGUGCCAGGCCCGUAUAACGUUAAUGAUUACUAGAUGACAUUUCCAAAGAGUCGUGUUGCUUGAUAGUGCAGCACUAAGUGGGUGGUAAACUCCAUCUAAAACUAAAUAUAACCAUGAGACCGAUAGUAAACAAGUACCGUGAGGGAAAGUUGAAAAGAACUCUGAAUAGAGAGUUAAAUAGUACGUGAAACUGCUUAGAGGUUAAGCCCGAUGAACCUGAAUAUUCUUUAUAGAAAAUUCAUCACUAUGAUUAUAUAAUAUAUAAUAUAUAUUUUAUCAAUAAUAUUAUAAUGGUGUGCAUUUUUUUUAUAAAGGACAUUGUGAUCUAUUAACAACAUACAUAUAUUUUAUCAUAAGAUCAUUAUGCGUAAGUUUAUUCAAAUUAUUUUGCUUGCAAUUUAACAUUGAAUAAAUGCUUUUUGAUUUGAUAAAGUGUUGAUAGAUAUAUUAUAAAUAUAGUGCUUAAAUAUAUAUCAAUAAUAUUUUAUAAUAGCAUAUUAAUCAUUGAUUUUUGUGUUUAUUAUUAUGCGCUUAUAUGAUCAACAAUGCGAAAGAUUCAGGAUACCUUCGGGACCCGUCUUGAAACACGGACCAAGGAGUCUAACAUAUUUGCAAGUUAUUGGGCAUAAAAACCUAAUAGCGAAAUUAACAUAACUUUAUUUUUUUUUGAAACGAAAAAAAAUAAAUAUGGGAUUAGUUUUUAGCACUAUUUUAUUAUAGUCUAUUAAUUCAAUCCCGGGGCGUUCUUAUAGUUAUGUAUAAUGAUAUUUAUAUUAUUUAUACCUCUAACUAGAGCGUACCUUGAGCAUAUAUGCUGUGACCCGAAAGAUGGUGAACUAUACUUGAUCAGGUUGAAGUCAGGGGAAACCCUGAUGGAAGACCGAAACAG